ACACUGUUGGUUAUGUGUGCCCAAGCAUUGAGGCAGUCAAAGUAGGCAAAUCCGCUUUGAUAAUGCUGGGAUGUGAUGGGGAGCGAAAUUUAGUAGCGAAGUAGCUGAUUUCACACUGUCAAGAAAAGUCUCUAUCGAGGUUAAAGGUACCCGUACCGCAAACCGACACAGGUGGGUGAGGAGAGUAUCCUAAGGCCAGCGAGAGAACUGUUGUUAAGGAACUCGGCAAAAUGACCCCGUAACUUAGGGAUAAGGGGUGCCACCAUCAGGUGGCCGCAGAGAAUAGGCCCAAGCGACUGUUUACCAAAAACAUAGGUUUCUGCUAAGUCGCAAGACGAUGUAUAGGAGCUGACGCCUGCCCGGUGCUGGAAGGUUAAGGGGAUCUGUUAGAGCAAUCGAAGCAGUGAACUUAAGCCCCAGUAAACGGCGGCCGUAACUAUAACGGUCCUAAGGUAGCGAAAUUCCUUGUCGGGUAAGUUCCGACCCGCACGAAAGGCGUAACGAUUUGGGCACUGUCUCAACAACAGACUCGGUGAAAUUGUAAUUCCGGUGAAGAUGCCGGAUACCUGCGACAGGACGGAAAGACCCCAUGGAGCUUUACUGUAGCUUGACAUUGGGUCUUGGUACUACAUGUACAGGAUAGGUGGGAGGCUUUGAAACCAGGACGCCAGUUUUGGCGGAGCCAUCCUUGGGAUACCACCCUUGUAGUACUGGGACUCUAACCAUAGGCCAUGAAUCUGGUCUUGGGACACUGUCAGGUGGGCAGUUUGACUGGGGCGGUCGCCUCCCAAAAGGUAACGGAGGCGCUCAAAGGUUCUCUCAGUACGGUCGGAAAUCGUACGUAGAGUGUAAAGGCAAAAGAGAGCUUGAUUGCAAGACAUACAGGUCGAGCAAGGAUGAAAAUCGGACUUAGUGAUCCGGUGGUUCUGCGUGGAAGGGCCAUCGCUCAACGGAUAAAAGCUACCCUGGGGAUAACAGGCUUAUCUCCCCCAAGAGUCCACAUCGACGGGGAGGUUUGGCACCUCGAUGUCGGCUCAUCACAUCCUGGGGCUGUAGUAGGUCCCAAGGGUUGGGCUGUUCGCCCAUUAAAGUGGUACGCGAGCUGGGUUCAGAACGUCGUGAGACAGUUCGGUCCCUAUCCGUCGCAGGCGUAGGAAAUUUGAGAAGACCUGUCCUUAGUACGAGAGGACCGGGAUGGACGUACCUCUGGUGUACCAGUUGUCCUGCCAAGGGCAUGGCUGGGUAGCUAUGUACGGAAUGGAUAAGCGCUGAAAGCAUCUAAGCGCGAAGCCAACUUCAAGAUAAGAUUUCCCACCGCAAGGGUAAGACCCCAGAAAGACUAUCUGGUUGAUAGGUCGAAGGUGUAAGUGCAGCAAUGUAUUUAGCUUAUCGAU
rnacentral:rRNA from 1 species